UUUCCGUAGGUGAACCUGCGGAAGGAUCAUUACUGAGUGAGGGCCCCUCGGGGUCCAACCUCCCACCCGUGUUUAACGAACCUUGUUGCUUCGGCGGGCCCGCCUCACGGCCGCCGGGGGGCAUCUGCCCCCGGGCCCGCGUCCGCCGAAGCCACCUGUGAACGCUGUCUGAAGUAUGCAGUCUGAGACAAUUAUUAAAUUAAUUAAAACUUUCAACAACGGAUCUCUUGGUUCCG
rnacentral:misc_RNA from 1 species